rnacentral:rRNA from 1 species
UACGGGGGGGGCAAGCGUUGUUCGGAAUUACUGGGCGUAAAGGGCCAGUAGGCGGCCAACUAAGUCCGACGUGAAAUCCCAAGGCUUAACCUUGGAACUGCGUCGGAUACUGGAUGGCUUGAAUUCGGGAGAGGGAUGCAGAAUUCCAGGUGUAGCGGUGAAAUGCGUAGAUAUCUGAAGGAACAUCAGUGGCGAAAGCGACUUCCUGGACCAAUACUGACGCUCAUGUGCGAAAGCGUGGGGAGCAAACAGG